rnacentral:rRNA from 1 species
UCGAACGCAUCCCGUUAAAUUGAAGUGCUUGCACUGAUUUUUAACACCGGACGAGUGGCGAACUGGUGAGUAACACGUGGGUAACCUGCCCAGAAGCGGGGGAUAACACUUGGAAACAGGUGCUAAUACCGCAUAAUAACAGAAACCGCAUGGUUUCUGUUUGAAGGAUGGUUUCGGCUAUCACUUCUGGAUGGACCCGCGGCGUAUUAGCUAAUUGGUGGAGUAAUGGUUCACCAAGGCAAUGAUACGUAGCCGACCUGAGAGGGUAAUCGGCCACAUUGGGACUGAGACACGGCCCAAACUCCUACGGGAGGCAGCAGUAGGGAGUCUUCCACAAUGGACGAAAGUCUGAUGGAGCAACGCCGCGUGAGUGAAGAAGGGUUUCGGCUCGUAAAACUCUGUUGUUGAAGAAGAACACACCUGAGAGUAACUGUUCAGGUGUUGACGGUAUUUAACCAGAAAGCCACGGCUAACUACGUGCCAGCAGCCGCGGUAAUACGUAGGUGGCAAGCGUUGUCCGGAUUUAUUGGGCGUAAAGCGAGCGCAGGCGGUUUCUUAAGUCUGAUGUGAAAGCCUUCGGCUUAACCGGAGAAGUGCAUCGGAAACUGGGAGACUUGAGUGCAGAAGAGGACAGUGGAACUCCAUGUGUAGCGGUGAAAUGCGUAGAUAUAUGGAAGAACACCAGUGGCGAAGGCGGCUGUCUGGUCUGUAACUGACGCUGAGGCUCGAAAGCAUGGGUAGCGAACAGGAUUAGAUACCCUGGUAGUCCAUGCUGUAAACGAUGAAUGCUAGGUGUUGGAGGGUUUCCGCCCUUCAGUGCCGCAGCUAACGCAUUAAGCAUUCCGCCUGGGGAGUACGACCGCCAGGUUGAAACUCA